rnacentral:lncRNA from 1 species
UUACUUCUCCUCCUCUCUCUCUUUCAUUCUUUCACCAUAAGCAACAAGAAAAGAAAAGCUUUCUCUUCUAUCAACAAUGGUUAGGACUUGGUUUUGAGGCUAUCUCUCUCUCUCUCUCUUCUUGAAUUUGUUUGCUUUUUAGUUUUCUGGGUGACAGAAGGAAACAGAAACAAACAAAAAACCUCUAACAGACUCUCUCUCAAGCAAAAGCAUUUACUGUGAGGAUAACAACAAUGGGAUCUUUUAAUUCUUUUUUUUCUGAAAAUGUAUUUGGAAAUUCAAAAUCCUAAUGAAUAAACUGACUUUGACUGUAGCUCUAUAUAGCAACUAGGCAUCUGUAUGGCACAUGACUCUUAUGGCCACACUCUUUAUUCAGGCGCGUGCACCAACAUGUCACUCUUCUUUCUUCUCAACCAGAAAUCUUGGUGAACAGAUUCCUCCUUUUCAAGCUGAUGCUACUUCUUACUAGUCUCUCUACUGUUUCUAUAGACUGAUUGAUCUCUUCGGAAUUUGAUCUGAGACGGAAGAAUCUGUAGAGACAGUGGAGGCCACGCGCCGGAGAGUGAGAAAAGAUUUGGGCCUGUCUGGUCAGAGACUUGCCCACUGGCUUCCACUUUGAGAACUAUUUUGACGAGAGAGAGAGGCUGAUCAGAAGAAAUCUAUAAAAUAUCUCGCAAGGACCCAUUGAUGGGAUGAUAUAACCUCUCAAAGCCUUUGAGAUUUUUUCCUAUUAGGAUUCAACUUUAAAUGUACCAUGUAAUGUGUGACACUGUUUGUAUAAGACUUUUGAUUAUGACAAACAUAAUUUGACUUUCUAAAAGACAGUUUUUUUCUUCAAAAUAUGUUUAGUGGAAUACUGGAAUGUACUAAUAAACUAGAAAAGAUCUUGGGUCUGACUAAUGCACCAUGAAAGUCUUAUGCCAAUUAUAAACAUACUUGUGUCUUUGUUUUGUUUACCUAAAAGUUGACUUUUUCUCAGAGAAAUCAGAAUCUAUGCUGAAUUUGAACUUUAGAAGCAAUUAGGAACCAUACACAUUUCACUUCAUCAAUAGCUACAUUCCACAAUGAUCCCG